rnacentral:piRNA from 1 species
UAUGUGUGAUGCAUGGUGUCUGCUAGCGUU